CCUACGGGAGGCAGCAGUGAGGAAUAUUGGUCAAUGGACGAGAGUCUGAACCAGCCAAGUAGCGUGAAGGAUGACUGCCCUAUGGGUUGUAAACUUCUUUUAUAUGGGAAUAAAAUGUUCCACGUGUGGGAUUUUGUAUGUACCAUAUGAAUAAGGAUCGGCUAACUCCGUGCCAGCAGCCGCGGUAAUACGGAGGAUCCGAGCGUUAUCCGGAUUUAUUUGGUUUAAAGGGUGCGUAGGUGGAUUGUUAAGUCAGUUGUGAAAGUUUGCGGCUCAACCGGAAAAUUGCAGUUGAUACUGGCAGUCUUGAGUACAGUAGAGGUGGGCGGAAUUCGUGGUGUAGCGGUGAAAUGCUUAGAUAUCACGAAGAACUCCGAUUGCGAAGGCAGCUCACUGGACUGCAACUGACACUGAGGCUCGAAAGUGUGGGUAUCAAACAGGAUUAGAUACCCGUGUAGUC
rnacentral:rRNA from 1 species